rnacentral:piRNA from 1 species
UUGUCUUUUGUAGAUCACGUC